UACGUAGGGUGCGAGCGUUGUCCGGAAUUAUUGGGCGUAAAGGGCUCGUAGGCGGUCUGUUGCGUCGGGAGUGAAAACUCAGGGCUUAACCCUGAGCCUGCUUCCGAUACGGGCAGACUAGAGGUAUGCAGGGGAGAACGGAAUUCCUGGUGUAGCGGUGAAAUGCGCAGAUAUCAGGAGGAACACCGAUGGCGAAGGCAGGUCUCUGGGCAUUAACUGACGCUGAGGAGCGAAAGCGUGGGGAGCGAACAGG
rnacentral:rRNA from 1 species